GGGCGAUUUCGCUAGCUACCUUGACACGGUAGAGGUCACUGGUUCAAUCCCAGUAUCGCGCACCA
rnacentral:tRNA from 1 species